rfam:Triticum aestivum genome assembly, contig: Triticum_aestivum_CS42_TGACv1_scaffold_069863_1DL
UUUGUACUCCCUCCGUCCUAAAAUUCUUGUCUUACAUUUGUCUAGAUACGGAUGUAACUAAUACUAAAAUGUGACUUGAUACAUCCGUAUUUAGACAAAUCUAAGACAAGAAUUUUGGGACGGAGGGAGUAGAUA